UGGGAGUGGGAAUGGCGUCGAAUUAGCUCAUUUACUUAUUGUUGCUACACACUGCUCAUUUUGGCAGCGGAAAAAGCACAACGGGAGCUUAAGCUCGAGCUCAUGUGCGUCAUUUAAGGCAAUUGCGCUUUAGUAGUGCUCGCAACAACUGUUCAAAGAUUAAAAAAUAACAAUGCGAAUCUGCACAAUAAACCAGUGUAUUAUGCUACAAAGGCUGAUAAACAAAUUGACGGAAGCAGUCAAGGAAAAAUUUCAUUGACAAAAAUUCAUAUUGAUAUGAGUGCGUUCCAGUGCGUCUCCGACUGAUUUCGAAAGGGCUCUCUCUCACAUGCACAAACACGCACACACAUAUGUCUGUAUACGAAGAAAUGAGCGCGCGGUUAGCAUGCUAAUCACAAGCACGAAGCAAAAAGAGCCGAAACAACAACAACACAAACAAACAACAGUAAAAGGCAAAUACGAAAUAACAAAAUUAACAACUCGCCUGGUAACUGGAGAACUGGGGAAACUGGCCGAUUGCCGUUUGUCGACUUGCUGCCCUUUGCUCGGCGCCUGUUCAAAUAAGUUUCAAAUUUUGACAAAUAAAACCAUGGUUUUGUAAUUUA